CCUACGGGUGGCAGCAGUGAGGAAUAUUGGUCAAUGGCCGAGAGGCUGAACCAGCCAAGUCGCGUGAGGGAAGACGGCCCUACGGGUUGUAAACCUCUUUUGUCGGGGAGCAAAGCGAGUCACGUGUGACUCAUUGAGAGUACCCGAAGAAAAAGCAUCGGCUAACUCCGUGCCAGCAGCCGCGGUAAUACGGGGGAUGCGAGCGUUAUCCGGAUUUAUUGGGUUAAAGGGGUGGCCAGGCGGAGCUGCAAGUCAGCGGUCAAAUUGCGGGGCUCAACCCCGUGCUGCCGUUGAAACUGCAUCCCUUGAGUGCGCGAGAGGUAUGCGGAAUGCGUGGUGUAGCGGUGAAAUGCAUAGAUAUCACGAAGAACUCCGGUUGCGAAGGCGGCAUACCGGCGCGCAACUGACGCUCAGGCACGAAAGCGUGGGUAUCGAACAGGAUUAGAUACCCCGGUAGUC
rnacentral:rRNA from 1 species